rnacentral:rRNA from 1 species
AGAGUUUGAUCAUGGCUCAGGAUGAACGCUAGCUACAGGCUUAACACAUGCAAGUCGAGGGGCAGCAUGAUCAAAGCUUGCUUUGGUUGAUGGCGACCGGCGCACGGGUGAGUAACGCGUAUCCAACCUUCCCCUUAGUAGGGCAUAGCCCGUAGAAAUGCGGAUUAAUACCCUAUGUUGUUCGUAGAGGACAUCUGAAAUGAACCAAAGGUUUACCGCUAAGGGAUGGGGAUGCGUCUGAUUAGGUAGUCGGCGGGGUAACGGCCCACCGAGCCUUCGAUCAGUAGGGGUUCUGAGAGGAAGGUCCCCCACAUUGGAACUGAGACACGGUCCAAACUCCUACGGGAGGCAGCAGUGAGGAAUAUUGGUCAAUGGACGAGAGUCUGAACCAGCCAAGUAGCGUGCAGGAUGACAGCCCUAUGGGUUGUAAACUGCUUUUAUACAGGGAUAAAGUAGGGAACGUGUUCCCUUUUGCAGGUACUGUAUGAAUAAGGACCGGCUAAUUCCGUGCCAGCAGCCGCGGUAAUACGGAAGGUCCGGGCGUUAUCCGGAUUUAUUGGGUUUAAAGGGAGCGCAGGCUGGAUUUUAAGCGUGUUGUGAAAUGUACCGGCUCAACCGGUGAUGUGCAGCGCGAACUGGAGUCCUUGAGUGAGUACGACGUCAGCGGAAUUCGUGGUGUAGCGGUGAAAUGCUUAGAUAUCACGAAGAACCCCGAUUGCGAAGGCAGCUGACGAGUCCUUAACUGACGCUAAAGCUCGAAAGUGCGGGUAUCGAACAGGAUUAGAUACCCUGGUAGUCCGCACGGUAAACGAUGGAUGCCCGCUGUUGGCGAUAUAUUGUCAGCGGCCAAGCGAAAGCGUUAAGCAUCCCACCUGGGGAGUACGCCGGCAACGGUGAAACUCAAAGGAAUUGACGGGGGCCCGCACAAGCGGAGGAACAUGUGGUUUAAUUCGAUGAUACGCGAGGAACCUUACCCGGGCUUGAACUGCAGGCGAACGAUACAGAGAUGUUGAGGCCCUUCGGGGCGCCUGUGGAGGUGCUGCAUGGUUGUCGUCAGCUCGUGCCGUGAGGUGUCGGCUUAAGUGCCAUAACGAGCGCAACCCCUUUCUCCAGUUACCAUCAGGUAGAGCUGGGCACUCUGGAGACACUGCCACCGUAAGGUGUGAGGAAGGUGGGGAUGACGUCAAAUCAGCACGGCCCUUACGUCCGGGGCUACACACGUGUUACAAUGGGUGGUACAGAGAGUCGGUCGCUGGCAAUAGCGAUCCAAUCCUAAAAGCCAUCCUCAGUUCGGAUUGGGGUCUGCAACCCGACCCCAUGAAGCUGGAUUCGCUAGUAAUCGCGCAUCAGCCAUGGCGCGGUGAAUACGUUCCCGGGCCUUGUACACACCGCCCGUCAAGCCAUGAAAGCCGGGGGCGCCUGAAGUCCGUGACCGCGAGGGUCGGCCUAGGGUGAAACCGGUGAUUGGGGCUAAGUCGUAACAAGGUAGCCGUA